rnacentral:rRNA from 1 species
CAGCCGCCGCGGUAAAACGAAGGGUGCAAGCGUUAAUCGGAAUUACUGGGCGUAAAGCGUGCGUAGGCGGUGAGUUAAGUCUGCUGUGAAAUCCCCGGGCUCAACCUGGGAAUGGCAGUGGAUACUGGCUCGCUAGAGUGUGUCAGAGGAUGGUGGAAUUCCCGGUGUAGCGGUGAAAUGCGUAGAGAUCGGGAGGAACAUCAGUGGCGAAGGCGGCCAUCUGGGACAACACUGACGCUGAGGCACGAAAGCGUGGGGAGCAAACAGGAUUAGAGACCCGUGUAGUCCCUGUCUCUUAUAC